rnacentral:rRNA from 1 species
AGUGAACGCUGGCGGUAGGCCUAACACAUGCAAGUCGAACGGCAGCACAGAGGAGCUUGCUCCUUGGGUGGCGAGUGGCGGACGGGUGAGGAAUACAUCGGAAUCUACUCUGUCGUGGGGGAUAACGUAGGGAAACUUACGCUAAUACCGCAUACGACCUACGGGUGAAAGCAGGGGAUCUUCGGACCUUGCGCGAUUGAAUGAGCCGAUGUCGGAUUAGCUAGUUGGCGGGGUAAAGGCCCACCAAGGCGACGAUCCGUAGCUGGUCUGAGAGGAUGAUCAGCCAGACUGGAACUGAGACACGGUCCAGACUCCUACGGGAGGCAGCAGUGGGGAGUAUUGGACAAUGGGCGCAAGCCUGAUUCAGCCAUACCGCGUGGGUGAAGAAGGCCUUCGGGUUGUAAAGCCCUGUUGUUGGGAAAGAAAUCCAGCUGGCUAAUACCCGGUUGGGAUGACGGUACCCAAAGAAUAAGCACCGGCUAACUUCGUGCCAGCCGCCGCAGUAA